AGAAAGUUAGUCUAACCAAGACAGUUGAUUUCGACUCAACAGAUCACAGCUUAACUCCGUGACUUUCUC
rnacentral:tRNA from 1 species